rnacentral:misc_RNA from 1 species
GAAAUGCGAUAAGUAAUGUGAAUUGCAGAAUUCCGUGAAUCAUCGAAUCUUUGAACGCACAUUGCGCCCUUUGGUAUUCCAAAGGGCAUGCCUGUUCGAGCGUCAUUUGUACCCCCAAGCUUUGCUUGGUGUUGGGCGUUUUUUGUCUUUGGCUCGCCCAAAGACUCGCCUUAAAACGAUUGGCAGCCGGCCUACUGGUUUCGCAGCGCAGCACAUUUUUGCGCUUGCAAUCAGCAAAAGAGGACGGCAAUCCAUCAAGACUCCUUCUCACGUUUGACCUCGGAUCAGGUAGGGAUACCCGCUGAACUUAAGC